UCAGGCAGUUGGGCUGCAGGAGGUCAGGCAGCAAUAUUGCUUGGUCUUAGAGCUGCUGUGAAUGAACUGGAGAGCUCUUCCUUACAGAACAGAAGAUGUUGGAGCACUUCAUCUAGUUGUGAAGAGUUGUUGUUUACACAUACCCAAACAACAAGGCAAUGCCAAACAAAGGACUGAAUCUUGAAUUCUUUUUGUUCAACUUCUAAUUGAACUGUCUGGUCAGAAUUUGAGGUAAAAUAAAAGAAAAUUGAAGUGAAAUGCAUAGGGAUUCAUAGCUAUGACAAAGAACAGCAGACCUUGAAAUAAAGAAAAUAAAAAUAGACAUAGAAGAAGCUUCUGCAAUCUGCUGCUGAAACGUGUAGAACUGCCAGGCAGGAUUACUGUGAUCAAAGAAGCAUAUCUGAUGCAUCAUACAUCAUGCGAUUAUGUUACCCACCGUGCCAAGAAGAGUCUGAUCCUGUCUUCUUUCCAAGCUUACAUCAGAUGCUGAUAAUGAUUCAGAAAGUACCACAGCACCACAUAUGGUUUCUCCAGACUCCCGCAUAAAGUUCACAGCCAGGAAGAGGUUUGGAAAUGAUAAGUAGCGUAGUUCACUAAGUGAAAAUGCUAUGGCAUGAAAAAUAAUUUGGUGAAUAUUAUCUUAUUAUUGUGUUACAGUGUGUUUUUUGUUUGGCUUUUUCUUAUUAUAUGAGAUUUGCCUUUACUAUUUUACUGAUAGACUGCUAUCAAAUUUACCAUAGGGUAGAUCUAUAAAUAUUGUGUGACCUCUUGUGGUACAACAAAAUACUACAAGUAUGAUUCAUAGCUAGUAACUUACAUAACCCACAAACUACAUACAGCUGAAGUCUGCCAUAAUGACUGAGUUCCUAAUUAACUAUGGCUAACUCUGAACAAAGCUAUGAGGCUCCCAGAUCAAAGCUCAUGAACACAGGCAAAACCAAGAGAAUUUGUUCUUCUAAAGAAAGGGUUUGGAAAAAGGAAAACAUUGAAGCAUCUGUCUUUUUUCUGGCCAGACUCCCAGCCAGACAGUAAAGGAGAAAACAACAUUUCAUUUGGAAUAUUGAAACAGCACAAAGUGUUUUAAGAAAAGAGUGAGAGUCAAAAGAAAAAUCAAAAGCAAGGAAACUAUUUAAGCUUUGAUGGAAACUACUUACUUGAUGGAUGACAUCUUGUUAUAGUGGUUUUGAGAAUUGUAAUGAACCAGAGACUUUUUACUGUGUAAUGGACACAGUGCAUCAGCCUCUGAAGAGGUCCUCUCAAAGUAAAGACAUGGGGAUUUGGGAGCUAAAUCUCAGCAAAGAUUCCAGAUCGAAUCCUGUGCAUCUCUGAGUUGAAGAAUCCUGUCUCCCACCAUCAGGAAUACUGGGGGAAAUUGCAGAAGAGACAGAAAAUAUGAGGGAAGAAGUAGAGAUCUUACUGUAUUGAAAGAGAAAGCGAUACAAAGGAAUAUGGGAUAUAGGAAGAAAGAAGCAAGAAACAGGCCCUGAAGACUCAACGUGAUCUAUUAUCAGAAAGAAAAAAGAAACAACAGAAUGAAGCCAGAAAAUAAGGUCUUUUUAAUUAAAAAAGUAGUAAAAGAGAUUUAGUAAGCAGGUAAAAUGGUACUUAACAAAUAUUGUAUUUAACUGGGUCUUAUCAGUAUUCAUCAAAAAGGCACAUCCUCAUGAGUGGGAACGUGCAGUUUGCAGUGCCUCAAAGCCUCUCAGGCUUGCCAGGCUUCCAGUGCCCUGUGCACCAUCCCUGCAGCCUUCUCUGGCCACCAGCACACCCAACCGCCCUACUACCACCUUCCUGCACUGCCCCAGGGGCAAGCCAACCCAUUCCUGGGUGCUUCCAGAUGGUGGGAAGGCAGUGGAGACAGUGCAUGGGGUGCUGGAAGCCCGCCAAGUCCAAGUUUCCCUGAGCACCCCGUGCACUGUUGGAUCAGGCUGGGUGCUAUAUGAGAGCCGGGACAACACCUGCCCAGCUAGCACCCUGCCCGGGUAGCCCCAAGGUGUGACAUCACCAUGGAGGGAAGCACCGGGCUCCCCUACAGCCCAUGGGCUGCAUAACACAAUGGCAGUUCGCAUGGGCAGGCUCUGCCGUUGUGGGAAAAAAAGCAGUGAGCCCAAUCCUAUUUCUUUUCCCUCACAGAGCCUGCCCACCCCUCCCAUGGCCAGGGGGCAAGCUGCCAUCAGCCCCUGAGCUGCAGGGGACCUCAGACCUUCCCUCUACAGGGGCAGCACCCCCGGGGCCACCCAGGAGGGCUGCUAGCAGGUGAGUGCCACCUGGGUGACCCUGCCACCAUGGAGGAAAGUUCCAGGGCUCCUCACAGUUCAGGGGCCACCAGCAGCUUUUCCCCUGGCCACAAGAGGCAGGCCCCUCACCACUUUUUGUUUAUCCCAGCAGAGCCUGCCCAUGCAAGCUACCACUGGGCCAUAUAGCCCCUGAGCUGCCAGGAGGGCCUGAUGCUUCCCUCCAUGGCAGUGCCCCCCCCCACCCAUGGCUGCCUGGGGUGCUAGCGGCUGGGUUCUGCCUGGGGGAUGCCAUCCCCUUGGAUGGGAGCACCAGGGGCCCCUGCAGCUCAGGGCCUGCCAGCAGCUCACUGUGAGAGAAAAAAAAAAAAAAAAGGACUGGGCCCCUCGCUGCUUUUUUUCUUUUUUCCCUGGGCAGAGCCUACCUGCGGCAGCAAGGACAGCAUGUGAGCUGACGGUGGGCCAUCACCAUUCCAUCACAGUGAUGGAAGCCCUUAAAUUGAAACAGUGGGUCACAGUUAAAAAAGCACAAAUUAAAAACCCACCAUUUGAAUUAAACCUCCAUCACGUGUACAAGCACCCUAUGUGCUACUGCUGUUUAUCCCCAAGGAAACUCACGUGCACUCUCACCUUGAUGCGCCUGUGAAGUAUUCACCUAAUACCCUUUUUCCAUGUCCAGCCUGAUUUAAAGCUGAUAAAAUAGUAUUUGGUGAAAAUCUUUUUAGUGAAAUAUUACUGCAAAAUGCAUCAAAUAUAGUCAAUGAAUAUUUAUUUCUACUCUUCAACCAGUCCUUUUGGUAAUUUAUGCAUUAAAAACAUAUUAAGUAGAAAUUCAAUGAGAAAUAUAAUUGAUUACAAGACACAAUAAACAGUACAGAACUGUCUCUUUUACCUUAAAUGGUAAGCUGCUGAGAGUCACAGAAGCACUGAUAUUUUUCAGAGUGGUUAGGUAGCCUAGGAAAUGAUCCAAGCUGUAUCGUAAUGAACAGAAAGAUUCCAGCUCAUUUCAAGGAACUUUGGAUUGGGCAUAUACUCUACAAAAGCUAGUUUAGACUCAAGGCUUUUCUAAGACAUUUUCAUGAUUAUGAUGUACCCUAUUUACUGCAGACAUUUGACAGUGGGGUUUUUCCACUCCAAAAAUAAAGCACCAUGUUUCUCCUUAGAAGCCAACAACCUUAUCUCACAAGGGGGUUAUGAAAGUAAGUUCAGUAGCAAGCGUUAAGCAUUUUGGAUCUUUGGAUAGGAAGCACUAUAGUAAUCCAAGUAAUUUUUAAAGACUUCCUUAGCUGCAGAUGAUCUACACACAGUAUUUUGAGGAAUAAGCAGUGCAGAAAAAAAUUACUAAGAUCCAAAUCUGCCACCCUUAUUUCUUUUCCUCUAGUUUUGUCAUCAUCCUACUAAAAAAGUCAAGUUUAUACUACCAAGUGUAUUCUUUCUAAACACAUAUGCUGAUUCUCACUCAUGAAGCCUUAUGCUCUACAGAUGUGUAGUGACUUUUAAAAUAUAUUUUCCAUUAUUGCACCAAGGACAGCCCUGAUUCCUCAUAGCACAACUGUGCUGAUCUGUGAGCUCUGUAUCAGCUUCAAGAAAGAAAGAGAUGGAAACAGUCCCAGUGAAUGUGAUGGAGAGCCACAUAGACAAAUGGCCCUAUAGCAGAAUGAAACGUAUGUGUUUGUGGGUCAAAUUGGUUUUGAAUGCUAUUUUAACUUGAAUCCCUCUCACCAGGUUAUAGGAAAAAGCAUUUAUUUUGUCAGUAUUUUUGUGCUCUCCUGAAGGCUGUAAUUAAAAUCCCACAGAGAAAUAUGUUUAUGGUGUUCAGUCACAUUCAAUAUCAAUAAUUAAGUGCUUGUUGCAGCUGAGAAACCAAGCUCUUAGAAAGGUUUUUGUUCAAUAAUAGUAACUUAAUUUCUAUGCUCUGGGUAUGUAAGCAGGGUUUGCAUCUUGAGUUAUUAGCAUGAUGGCAUAGCUGCAGGUAAGAGAGAGGAAAUUUUAAAACUAUUUUUUUCCAAAAAUAUUGAGCUGAAAAUGGAAAGCCCCUUUAGAUUGGGCAGUUUAUGGCAUUACUUAUCAAUAGCACAGGUGCCUUAUUACAUUUUUAUGGUAUAUAACCUUAAUUUGCUUCCCCCCCAACCCUCUCAGUGAUAGGAACUUCAACUAGGGACUUCUCUAUGAAGACUGUGCUCCUGACAAGCUCCCUUGAAUAUCCUACUUUCAAAACCACUCAAAUAAAGACACUGGUGCUCUUAUGGGGACCAAUACACUCUGAAGAUUCUGGCAGAAUAUUCUAGCAGAGGCCCUUGUCUUGAGAUCCACUGAGAAAAAUGGGUCCAACAGUCCUAACAGGAAUGCAUCAAAGGUCAGAGAAAUAAUGUAAUGGUGUCUAUUUUAACUGUUUCUCUAUAUAGCACCCAUCAUGAUAGAAUCAAAGAAUUGGACACAGCACAAUAGAACAAAUUCCACAGUGGAUUUAGCUCUUUGACUUCCCCUAGUUUCAGACACUCUGCUUUUUAAGUUAUUUUGUUUUUUAGGAUGUGCUAGUAGUAGAUAUCCCAUUGUCUUGGGAAAGUUUUGGAUAACAGCAGCACGCUCAGACCAGUGUUUCCCUUAGUCCAGUGUCUCAGCCCUGAAAGUGAACACUACCAUACCCUUUGUAGGAGGGUACAAGGAAAUCUGUACCAGGA